CUCUUUUCUUUCUUUUUCUCUCCUCUCUUUCAGUAGACAGCAGCCCCUCCCCUAUUCCAGCACCCGGUUCCCUCUCCCUUCUUCUCUUCUCCUUCCUCUUCGGUCACGCUCAGCCAGUAGAACCCUUCCCCUUUUUCUUCUUCCUCUCCUCGUUUUUCUCUCGCACCCACAAACCCGCACAACACUUCCCCUUCCACAUUUUCUCUCUGUCACACACGCCCAUCCCAUGAGUGAGGCCGUGAGGUGCGAUUUUUGGAGUGGGUUGUCGGUGGGUUGGAGCUAAUGACGCCGGUGAGGCUAGAAGUGGCGAUUUUCAGUGAUUUUCGUGGGUUUAGACUGCUGGAAGGGAAAUCAAAAAUUGGAUAGUGUCUGGAUUGGAUACUUCAACGGAUUCUCCAAUGUAGAGUUCGAGUCAAGAGUCCAAUGCAGCCAAGGUACUUCGGUAUAGUUGAGGGGUUGGUAGCAGUGUACUUGAGAUAUUAUGACUGAAGCUCGCAGCGACAGUUGUAAUUGUCGGACCACGGGUUGUCCACUAUUUUAUAGGUUUGGUAUGGCUUGUGACGUUUGUGUCACUUAUUCUUUGUUAAGCCAUUAUUGUUAUGUAAUGAUUGUGUUAAUAAAGACUCAAACAGAUAGACGUUAAAUGGCUCAAUGUUGUAAUUAAGUUGUGAUAGAUGUAUAAGUUGUAAUUUUCGCUAUUCAGAUU